UAUAUCCAAACACGCCAUGCCCUGUAUUGAAGUUACCCGAUCCCUUCAUCUCACCCUAUCCGUACUUCGGUGUCAUGACCAUAGGAUGGAAAGACGCCGUUUUAGAGCCAAGACGUGAAUUUUCGAUUCCUCUUUGACUCGCUGCUCGUUCGGUGAUAAAGUAUACAGGUUUAGUACACCAUUUACAUCUUUCUAAAUGUCGAAAGACCGCAUCGAAUUCACUUUAAUGCUCUCAAAACAUGUGAUGAGGAGCUGGAUGCAAGCAUAGAGAUAUGGAUCUGGUCAUCUGCAUGUGUACCGUCACCGAAUACCGCCCCAGUGGAUGCAUCACUGCGGUAUGAAGCACCAAACCUCAGGAUGGCAUGGCGGAUUUACGUAUAUGGAAAUUGAACUCCCCGAAUACACGUUCCCAGCCGACUUGUGUUUCCACAACCGACUUGUAUUUCCACAACACAAUGGAUAGAAAAGAAUAUUGAGAAAGUUCAAGGCAAUUCGUCCAUCUCGCAUACCACCCUUCUCCCUGUAUCACGUUCGCAAAUGUGCGCCAUUACCAUUUCACCAUUCUAAAGAUGGAUGAGGUCUAAAGCCGGCGUUGCUUAUUGAGGUGAAGUAAAGGUCGUUUGAGCGCUACUUUUUUUCCCUGACCUUGCAGCGAUGCUUACCAACACUUCUCGACUUCUCGCUGCCACUUUCUUUUGCCAGCUCUACCCGUCCUUGACGUCGCGUCUUGCUUCCUACUCCCCUGUUUGGAAUCCUUCUACCUGGACGCAACUAUUCUACUCAACAUUUAAAGGAUAAUUUUGAGGGAUUGACGAGGAGAGAUGAAAGUCUGGAGCAGGCAACGAGUGCAAACACUGGCAGAGGAGAGACGAAUGGAUAUACCAACUGGAUGACGCGAAGCAUUCGGCCUUUCUCUGAUGUCUACUCACCGUCUGUAAUUGUCAAUCCACAGCAAGCUUUUCAUUCAUUAUCCAUCUCUCUGCCUCACGUAGUAACUUCCAUCUUUCACGUCAAUCUGCCGACUAGUAUCCUCGUCCUAUCUUCACCUCGCCUUCUGAAGAUUAUUCUUUCACAAUGGUGUAUUUUCCCAGCCUGCUUUCGUUGCGGUCAGGGGUUAAGGGAGACUUGAAGACUUGGGUUGGGAUAAGAGAAGUCGAUGUGAGAGGGAAAGCAGGAAUCAUCAAGGACCGAAAGAAGACACUGAUGAGGAUUGGAAGGGAUGUUACGAGAUUAGCAAAAUAAUACGUCUGUGGCUUUCGUGACAUGCCGUUGCGAGAGACAAACUAGAAGAAGAUGACACAAGAAGAGAGGCACCAGGGACGAAGCUUGACAGAAGAUGCAACUGUUCUCGAUGAAGAUCUGGGAAUGCUACAAUAUCCCUAAUCAUCACUAGCAUACCACCGAGGGCAAUCGUAUCGCCAUGACAACGGAGGCCAGUGCUUGGAUCUUAAGGAUGGGAUCUUUGAGGAUUGGGCGGCGGUACAGACCUUCAAGUGUACCCACCAUCACUGGAAUCAGAUCUGGACAGUGAAGGAGGGAGAAUUACAUAAAGCGUCGCGGAACUUCUUUUAUUCUCUUUCUUGUGUAUAUUGGCAGUUCGAGUUAUGGUCAGUCAAUGUAAUCGAAUGUAUAUUUGUCCUAUUUAACCCCCU
rnacentral:sRNA from 1 species